rnacentral:lncRNA from 1 species
CACGUCCCUGCCAGCCUCCUCCAGGCCCAGCCAUUCUGGAAGCCGCACUCAGAAGGAGCAGAUGCUGUGCCCUUUCCUGCCCCCUAGCAUGGCACAGACAGAAGCCACGCCCUCUGCAGGGAAAGCAGGUGCAGCUGCUCUGGAUCCUGAGCAACACAGACUGAAGACGCUGAGGGGUUACCAGUGGUCCCCAGAGCCCCUGUGCUCCUCAGAUCCUCCUGAACGCUUCCCGAACUUGCCCUCACACUGGCUCCCAAGGUGACUUCCCAAGUGGGGGGCUUCUCCCCCACUUUCAGUGCCUGCAGGGCAUCUUCAGCCCUUGCCCACUGGGACC